AUGCCGAUAGUAUAUGUAAGUACAGUUGCCUUCCAAGCAAAAAGGCCAAAUUGGUCAGCAUA
rnacentral:tRNA from 1 species